GACAGAGGUGCCGAGCGUUAGGCGGAAUCACUGGGCUUAAAGCGUGUGUAGGCGGACGCCUAAGUGUCUUGUGAAAUCCCACGGCUCACCCGUGGAACUGCUGGGCAUACUGGGCGUCUUGGGCCAACUAGGGGCAGCCGGAACAAGCGGUGGAGCGGUGAAAUGCGUAGAUAUCGCUUGGAACGCCGAAGGUGAAAACAGGCUGCUGGGGUUGUGCCGACGCUGAGACACGAAAGCCAGGGGAGCAAACGGGG
rnacentral:rRNA from 1 species